ACCUGGGUGGUGCUCAGCUCUGCUGCCUCGCUGAUUUCAAGGGCACUGGGCAAGGACUGGGGCCAGGAACAGACAUCACGUAAACCAAAGAAUGUGCGGUCAGUGAAGUCCAGCUUGGAAAGCACCAGAUGGAAGCUCCAAAUGAUGCUGAAUCCACCGGACUGAGGUCAGAGGAGAAAACCGCCUUGACCGCAGAGGGACUCUAUGAGCCAAGGUUCUGCCCCUCUUGAGAGUGGAAUGUGAAAGGUGGAAGGAACAUCGGAUUUACUCCUGAUCAUGACCGUUGGUGCCGGCGCUGUGUGGGCUGACUCCAUCACCAGGAUCUGUAGUGUAGUCAUUAGAUUCCAUCUGUCUUCCUGGCUCCCAGAUUACGAGGUUCUGAAUUAAAUGUUCCAUUUUCAUUCUGAUCACCUUCAAUAAAGUACAACAGUGUGGUUUUGAAGUUCCCUAGCCUUCCUGUGCCUCAGUUUCCUCCUCUGUGUAACGGGUACACCGAUAUCACUUACUUCAUGGCAUUUCAGAAAGACGUGUGGAUUAAACAGAAAGCAAAAUCAGACCGUUGGGACAAAAAAGAGAACAGAAACCAGUGGAAGAAACUAGAAGGAAUAGAUUCGCCACAGACCUGAGCCACGAUGAUUGGAGGAUACUCAGAAAAAUGAAGCUGCUCGACCAAGAUCAGUCGGUAAUUGGAAAAAGGGAUUCAAGCUCAGCUCUGACUGCAAAGACGAUUACUUUAAAGAAGUUAUAAUCACAUCGGCUUUGCAAACUGUAAAGUGUUAUGAGGGAACCAGCUUAUGGCGUGUGUUCCUCGUGUACCGAAUGGAAGGAUGGAUAAAAGGAGUAAAUAUGCCGAGAGAGGCUCCUCCAGGCACUUGGCCUAAGGGGUCAGAGGAUCUAAGAUACCAGUCCUAGCUCUGGCACUUCAAGGUCAAGUGAACCUCAGAGAAGUCAUUUCACUGCUCUCAAACAGUUCCUUUACCUGCAGCUGCAAAGAGCCACCCAAGAGAAGGACAACCACCGUGACACCAUCACUGGAAGAUGUGUGCUGAUUCAAACAACAAGCAGACACCU